UCAGCCACCGCCACGAUCUUAUAUUUAGCCCCGCUUGAGUUGGCUACCGCUUCUAAGCAACAGCGGGGUGGGUGGAGUGGGGUGGAAGGUCGUGGAGUGGUGAUUGGAUCCUAGAUGAGGAGGGCGGGAUCAAAUCUUGCCCUGAGCUUUGAUUGGCCGCCGCGAGAUUCCCUACUGAAGCUCUUCCAGGGUACCGAGGUUUUCUGGAAUCACUUAAAGGCUACGAGCCCGGGGUUCACCGGCUGCGGGAUGCCAUUGGCUGCUGGUUUGGCGCAGGCGCUAUGGCUCCCGGGUUGGCGUUCGGGGUUGCUGAGGCAGGGCUUUGGCUACUGGAGAGUGUAGGUUCGAAUCCCAUCUAGGAACUUCAGUUUGCGCACCUGUAAAAGAAGCUGGUAUUAUUGGCUGGCACAGAAUGUGUCGGGACUUGAAGACUCUGAUCUGCUUGGUGGUGAAUAUCCCAGAGUGAGGUGUCUGAGCUCUUUGUAUGUGCUGUCUAAGAAGGUGAUGUAAUGAUGGAAGCAGAGUUGGAGAAGGAGAUUUGACAGCUGAAACAGAGAGAAGAGAGAUCAGAGAGACAUUUGAAGAUGAAACGCUGCUGGCUUUGAAGAUGGAGGAAGGGGCCAUGAACCAAGGACUGCAGACAGCCUCUAAAACUGGAAAAUGAAAGGAAGUGCAUUUUCCUGGAGCUUCCUGGAGUGAAGUAGCUCUGCUGACAACUUGACUUUAUCUCUGUGAGACUCAAGUUUAGGUCUCUGACCUAUAGAAAUGUAAGAUAAUAAAUUAGUGUUGUUUUACAAUACCAA